rnacentral:rRNA from 1 species
GACGAACGCUGGCGGCGUGCUUAACACAUGCAAGUCGAGCGGUAAGGCCUUUCGGGGUCCCCGAGCGGCGAACGGGUGAGUAACACGUGGGUGAUCUGCCCUGCACUUCGGGAUAAGCCUGGGAAACUGGGUCUAAUACCGGAUAUGACCUCCUAUCGCAUGGUGGGUGGUGGAAAGAUUUAUCGGUGCAGGAUGGGCCCGCGGCCUAUCAGCUUGUUGGUGGGGUAAUGGCCGACCAAGGCGACGACGGGUAGCCGACCUGAGAGGGUGACCGGCCACACUGGGACUGAGACACGGCCCAGACUCCUACGGGAGGCAGCAGUGGGGAAUAUUGCACAGUGGGCGAAAGCCUGAUGCAGCGACGCCGCGUGAGGGAUGACGGCCUUCGGGUUGUAAACCUCUUUCAGCAGGGACGAAGCGCAAGUGACGGUACCUGCAGAAGAAGCACCGGCUAACUACGUG